ensembl:lncRNA
CUCGCCGUGUUCCCUGUCGGAUCGGCUCGCUACUGCUGCUCCCAACUGCAUGCAAGGCUUCAGUAUUAGCGAAACAACAAUUUCAGAAAAAAACGAACACCAAAAACACAAGAAAUCCAACCAGGAAUAGAAAACAGGUAUUCAGAGCAAUUUCUUCAGUGACACAAUGCUUAACUGUUCCUGGGUUCAUGGAAGCCAUGCUGCUCAGGAGGUAUAGGAGGCCAGGCAAAGGUCUUAAUCUUUGCUUACAAGUGACUUCAUGUUCUCUCUUGCAUCAAGCCUACAUGAUAUGGGUUUUACAUCAGGUCUCCCAGAGCUUCAUGCAGCAUUGACUCCUCAUAACAGAAACCUCCUGUUCAUACUUCAGAUGAGACAGUGUUGUACAGAGCCAAGGCCAUUCACAGUGAAGGGCCCAAGAAGCUGGGAAGGAACAGAAUUAGGACAGCUGACUUAAACUGGACAAAGUGAUAUUCCAUGCCAUAUGACAUCAAGUGAAAGGAGUUUUGAAGGGGCACUGAAUGGGUUCUCCUCCUUCUACUUAUGUCUCCUGAGGUCCAGCUGCCUGGGUUCAGGACCACCUUACAGUUCUCUGACCUUGAAGCACCAUAGUGUGGGCCUCACUCUGACACCUGGGAACCACCUUGAAACCCCAGCCUGAACCUAGUCAUGGUCCUCAUCACCCUGACCCACCACCCCAGCAGUAUAUCCUACAGUACUAAAAAAUUAUGGUGGUAAUGAAGUUGGGAAAGAUUAGCAACUGACUAGAAAAAUAUAACAUUUCCAAAAUCAAUACUCUUGUUGACAGCUGACAUGGGAUUCACCCUUAAUUCUGAAACAGUUUUACUCAUAGUAAGUAUGGAAGAGGCAUCUUUCAUUAAGGUGGUUUUUCAUUCUGCUCCAGUGUCAGUGUUUAUACUUUUGGUGAAGUUGGUUGGGUCUAGGAGAGUAUAUAGAUUUCUAAGAGAGUUUCAUAUUUUUAUGCUUCUUGAGUCAGUUCUAGCACUGUUUUCUGUUCUGCAAUUUGGCCUUUCUCUAUACUUUCAUCUAAAGGAUCUUCCUGAGACCUAGGUCUCUUCCCCUGUUUCUGUAUUCAAAGAAAACAAAAGCUUCUACUCAAUACUUAAGCAUUACAUUAUAUCCUUUCACUGGGGCAUCUGUGCUAGCCAGGUGUUGGUCUACCACCAGAAUUUAGAUUCUUCUCACAAAACAGUAUUCUCUUUCAUACAUGUAAGCAUACAAUCAAGCUAACAAUCGGUAAACUCAUGUUAAAAUGACAUAUUUCAGAGGGCUUUGGGUAAUGAAAGCUUGGUAACAGAGAAGCAGGCUACUGAAAAAAAAGGGAUUAAAUGAAAAAAAUUGCAUACUGAACAACAUUACAACAAGAAGAUUGGUGAGAAAUGAUUGUGUAGAAAAGCUUGAUAAUAAGAGGAUUAUCAAAAUUUGAGAUUGCUAAAAUAAGCUUUCAAAACAUCUUAAAUGCAGAUAUAUCUGCUCCUAAUAAUAAAUAAGAAAAAUCUGCUCCUAAAAUAAAUAAGAAAGAAUGUGAAUUAUCUUAAUGUGAAUAAAGACAUGCUGUGUCAAAGCUUGUGUCUUGGUUUCAGUUGGAACAGCAUUAAAAUGUAAAAUAUUGAUUAAAUAUGUGAAAAUAUGUUUAUAUGGGUUGAUAGUGAUAGGACAAGGGGGAAUGGUUUUAAACCGAGACAGGGGAGGUUUAGGUUAGACAUUGGGAGGAAAUUUUUCACACAGAAUGUGGUCACACACAGGAACAGGUUGCCCCAGGAGUUGUGGAUGCCCCAUCCCUGGAGGCAUUCAAGGCCAGGUUGGAUGUGGCUCUGGGCAGCCUGGUCUAGUGGUUGGCAACGCUGCACAUAGCAGGGUUGAAACUAGAUGAUCAUUGUGGUCCUUUUCAACCCAGUACAUUCUGUGAUUGUAUGAUUCUACAAAUAUCACACCUAUGUUUUUGUUGUUCCUGAAUAAUGGGAGCACACCCAAGGCCAGGGCAGUUUGACAAGGAACAGCAACCACACCACCAUUAUGACAUGGCAGCAGGGAGUAACCAACAAUUAGGCCAAGGAUUAUUCAUACUGUAACAUGCAGAAGGCCAUAAAGCUGCAAGUAGUUGGCCAGGGGCAGCCACUGCUCGAGGUUGGCUGGGUGUGAGUUAGUGAGUGGUGAGACCUCAGCCAAUGAGCAAUUGCAUUGUUAGCUGCACAUCAGUUGGAAAGUAGCAAGUAAUUGCACUGCAGAUACAUAUAUAAAUUUAUAUAUUUAUAUAUAAUUAUCAUCACAUUUUUGUUUCUAUUUUCCUUUUCUCUCUUUGUAAAUAGAUUUUAUCUCAAUCCACAAGUUCUGUUUUGUUUCUAGUUCUCUCCUCCAUCCUACUUGAGGGGGAGUGAGUAAAUGGCUACUCUGCUGAGUUGCUUCCAGGUUAAACUACCACAGUUUGGAAGCAUAAAAUUUCUUCUUUUAAAAGUGUGUGAAGCUGGGCUAAAAGCCAGGUUAAACCUGAACAUAAAGUUUUAGCAGACAUGUAGGCAUACUCUAAGCAAACACAUGGCUCUACAUCUCAUUUUUAGGGCCAAUAUCAGCAUAUUCUAAUGUGCUUAUAUUAAGUUGCAGUGAAUGUGAUUUAGGCUUCUUCUUCAUUAAACACCUGUAGAGGACUGCCAAGAACUUGUUAAGCAACCUACUUAGGUUAGAGUUCUGACUAUGUCUUGCCGGACAUAUUACAGUUUAUUUGAAUCUGUUUGUUCCUACUGUCAGUAGCUGUGUAUCCCAGGCACUCCGUGGACAAGUAAAGAAAAUAAGUCGAUGUAUGCACUGAAGUAAAAGAAAGGAUGAAUUUUUGCCAGAAGCAUGAAUUUUCAUCCUUGCAAAAACUGAAAAAAAAAAGCAUAUAUUCCGUAGAUAUUUUUAAAUGCUUUUCAUUCAGCCUGUGAAAUGUGUGCUGCUUUCUUUGAUGGUCUUGAAGCAGAGCUGAAGUAUUUGUCUUGAAGUAGCCUGAGAUCUGACUUCUUCAACAUACAAACAUAUUAGUUUUGGUAUCUGUGGUAAAUCAGGAUCACAGUGAAAAAACUUCUGUAAUUAAUAAGACUUUUAGCCCUGCAAAAUUUAUACUCCACUGUUUCAAUUUAGUUUUCAGUGGCAGUACUCUGGAAUGCAGACAGGUCUGUACCCCACUGAGCAAUGGAGCAGUUAUAGAUACUGAAAUUCCUCAUGAGAUGUGUGAUAUUACUCCCUAGAUGCAAUAGUUGAAACCAUGGUAUUCAGUUGGCUACUGAUUACCAUCUAUUUUAAGCGGUCUCUUGAGUCAACAUUUUUUCCUAAUUUGUAAAGCUGUUGAACUAGCAAAAACAAGCACUUAAAACAUUUUAAAAUGAAUAGUUUGAUGUUUUGCAUUUUUUUUAACUUAAAUGAAAUUUAAUUUUAAUGUUUUAAUUUUAACCUUUUUUAAGACAAAUAAUCAGAAGAAACCAUGGUCUACCAGAAAGAAAAUGCCCUAAUUGACUAAAAUCAAAGUUAUAAGGCCAACAAAUAAUCUUUGAAGGUUUUUUUUUUUUUUUUUUUUUUUUUUCAGGAAAAUAUUUUCCUUUCGUGGACAUAUCAACUUGAUGGGAAAAUUUCAUGUUUCUUAAUGUGUUUUUCCAUUGCUAGACUUUAGUGUUAAAUUAUAACAGGGUCAGCUGAAAAGCUAACUAAUUUUAACAAAUGGUUUAUGGCCUUUAAGUCUGGUUUUGUAUUCCAAUUGGAAGUCUAAUUAAUCACACUCUACAAGGUUUGGUUGUUAUUAACAGUAGGAAUAGGAAAUCACAUUUGUUCUUGUGAUUUCACAGGACAUACAUCCAGCUUCUACUAAAGUUAAUUUCCAUUUCUCAACUGUUUGCUUUUGUUGUUGUUGUUGUUGUUGAAAUAGCUUUUAUGUAUAUCUGCUCAGCAGGAAACAUUCAUUAGAUUCUUUUUUUGAGAGGUCAGUUGGGUGUGUCACUUUCCAUUCAUACCUUUGAUUUGUGGUGUUGAAUAGGAAACUGGAAGAAUAAUAAGGAAUACAGAAUUUUCUGGAAAUGUGGAACAUUUUGUAUUUUAGGACCUUCAUGGAUGUGAACUUGUAGUUCAUAUUUAACCCAGUGUUUGUUACUUGAAUUACGAUUUAUAGAGAGCUAUAACCAUGGCAAACCACACCCAAAGGAAUUAAGGAGAGCUCCUCUAAGAAAGUAACACAACAGAUAGCCUACGUGGAGUGCCUCUCUACACCAAUAUAUGUAGCAUGGGCAAUGAGCAGGAGGAGGUGGAAGCCACAGUGCAAUUAAAAAAUUAUGACUUACUGUUAUCACAGAAAUGUGAUGGAACAAAUUGCACAACUCGAGCUGCAAACUUUUCAGAAUAGGCAGGGAAGAAGGGACAGGGAACCAUUCAAGGACACCUGGUAGUCAGAGUUUAAUACAGACCACCUGAUCAAGAGUAGACUGUUGAUGAGACAUUCUUGCUACAACUACAGGCAUUGUGCUUGCAGGUUCUCAUCCUGAUGAGGAAUUACAACCAACAUGAUGUAUCAUGGAAAAACAACUUAAGGGGCUGCAAGCAAUCCAGGACACUCCUGCAUUCUGUUGAGUAUAACUUUCUGGUCCAAGUAUUGGACAAACCAACCAGAGGAGAUGCAUUACUGAACCUACUGCUAACCAAUGGCAAUCAGUUCAGUAAAGAGAUUGAGAUUGGAGGCAGUCUGGGCUGUAGUGACCAUGCCCUGGUUGAGUUUGUGAUCCCAAGGAAUGUGGGCCUGUCAAGGAGCAGAGUCAGGACUCUGAACUUCAGAAGAGCAAACUUCCAGCCAUUUAAGGAAUUACUGGUUAUGAAAACUGUCUUUAGGGACAAAGGAACAGAACAGAUCUGUUGGUUCUUCAAGAAUACCUUUCUAGGAGCACAAGAGCUCUCCAUCCUCCAGCAUAAGAAAUCUGGAAAGGGAGGCAGGAGACUGGCAUGGCUGAAAAAGUACAUCCAGGUCAAACUGAGGAAUAAAAAUGAAAUGUGCAGGCAGUGGAAGCAGGAAUGUGUGACCUGGGAAGAAUACAGGGAUGCCAUCCAGAUGUGCAGAGGUGGGAUCAGGAAAGCCAAGGCACAGAUGUAACUAGACUUGGGACAUCAAAAACAAUGAGGGAUUCUACAGGUAAAUUGGUCAGAAGAGAAAAGGCAAGGAGAGUGUAACUCCUCUGAUAAAUGAGAAGAGAGAAAUGGCAAAAACAGACAUGAGGAAAGCUGAGGCAUUGCCUCAGUUUACAAUGGCAUUCUGGCUUCUUGUGUCUCUCAAGUCCCUGAACAUCUAGGCAGGGGUAAGUGGAGCUAAAUCCCCCCCAUUGUGAGCAAUGAACAAGUUUGAUUCCACUUGAUGAUAACAUGUAUCCUAGGGUCCUGAAGGAUCUGGAAAAAAAGGUGACUAGAAAAAAGAGAAACGUUACUCACAUUUUUAAGAAAGGGAGAAAGGAAGAUCUGGAAAACUACAGAAUGGUGACCCUCACCUCUGUGUCUGAGAAGAUCAGGAAAUAGAUCUUUGUGGAGAACAUGUUAAGGCACAUAUGAGACGAGGAGGUGAUCCAAUACAUCCAGCAUAGCUUCAGCAAGAGCAGAUCAUUCCUGACCAAUUUGAUGGGCAACAGAUGUUGUCUACCUGGACUUCUGAAAGGCCUUUUACAUGGUCCCACACCACCACAUCCUUGUCUCUAAAUUGGAGAUAGACAGACUUGAAGGGUGGACUAUUCAGUGGAGAAAUAAUUGGUUUGAUGGUCCAAGUGGAGGCUCUUGAUGAGUGGUGUCCCACAGUGUUCUGUCUUGGGAUAGGUGCUUUCUGAACAUCUUCAUCAGUGACCUAGACUAUGGGGCCGAGUGCACCCUCAGCAAGUUAGCAGAUGACACCAAGCUGAGUGGUGCAGUUGAUACCAUAGAAGGAAAACAUGCCAUCCAGAGGAACUUGAACAGGUUUGAAAAGUGGUCUCAUGGGAACCUAAUGAGGUUUAACCAAGCCAAGUGCAAAGUGUUACAGUUGGGUCUGGUCAAUCUCAGAUAUGUUUACAGUCUGAGAGUAGAACUCAUUGAGACCAGCCUUGUGGAGAAGGGACUGGGGGUUCUGGGGAUAAAAAGCUUGACAUGGUCCAGCAGUGUGCACUUGCAGCCUGAAAUUGUAUCCUGGGCUGAAUCAGCAGAGAAGUGGCCAGCAGAGUGAAGGGGGUGACUGUCUAUUUCUUCUCUGCUAUUAUGAGGCUCCAUCUGCAAUACUGUGUCCAGACUGGGGCCCCCAACACAGGAAAGAUGUGGAGCACCUCUCCUAUGAAGAAAGACUGAAGGAAUUGAGCUUGUUCAGCUUGGAGAAGGCUCUAGGCAGACAAUAUUGUGGCCUGCCAGUACUUAAGGAGAUCUCAUAAACAAGAAGGUAACCCUCUUUUUUACGUGGUCUGAUAGUGAUAGGACAAGGGAGAACAGUUUUAAACUAAAAGAGGAGAGAUUGAGGUUAGAUACUAGAAUGAUUUUUUUACUCAGAGGGUGGUGAUGUAUGGGAACAGGUUUCCCAGAGAAGUUGUGGAUUCCCCAUCAAUGGAGGCAUUCAAGGCCAGGUUGGAUGGGGCCCUGGGAAGCCUCAUCUACUGGAUGGAAACCCUGCCCAUAUCAAGGAGGUUAGAACGAGGUGGUCCCUUCCAACCCAAGUCAUUGUAUCAUUGCAUAAGAAUCUGGAUUUAAGAAGGUUUAAUACUAACCAGCUCUUCAGAGGUGUCUAGAGUCCAUACAGAUUUUGCAAAGAUUUCAUUGAUCAUUCUGCAGAGACUGAAUUCAU